GACUGAGCAAGGGAGCAAACAGAAAAGGCAACAAGGGCCCUGAGCUGCAGCCAGACAUGGUCAGAGACUGACCCUGAGAACAGAACACAGAAGGGAGAAAGAAUAAUGCUAGCACCUCAUGUGAUUUGCUGCAAGGCUGCACGAACACCUCCUACAGAGGCAGAAGUGGGUGGCCAGGAGGGGGUAAGGAGUGUGGAAACAAACCCAGAAGAGCAGAAUGAGCUCCCACCCCCAAAAAAACGACUGUUUUCACUACACAUUGCAUUCUUGUUACGGCCACCAGCGUACUGCUUUCAUUCACCUAACCCUGCACUAUUCAGAAGGAAGCAGCUAAGGAGGAACUUAUUCUCAAAAUACUAUUUUGGGAAGAAAUGUUACUUCAGGUGGCAAGAAGUGACAAGCUCUGAGCACACAGGUUUCCCCUUCCAUGUCCGCAGAGAGAGAGGUACACCGUGUGUGAUUUAUCUUAUUGCAGACCUCCAAAAAAACUUCAGAUGAACCAGGCCUGGAAUUGCUUCAUUCCCUCCAGUGGCUAAAUGGAGCAUAAGUGAUUACAAAACAGACCUCUAACUGGAAAAUUCACUCCAGCUCCUUAGAGAAAUAAGAUGUGAGAAUGUCUGCAAAUUUGUUGAUUUGGGUAAUGCAUUUUUUUCGACAUGUUUAGGCAAGCACCUACUAGACGUGAGUAUCUUAGGGUGAUUCCAACAAUCAGGUAUCGCAGCUGUGACAUUGUUACCAUAAGCUGCAGCUCAAAAAUUCCUCCAGACUACUUGAAAUGUGCUCCCCAUCAAUAUCAGGUAAGGACAUGUCUCCUUCUUUUCCUUUCUGUUUGCAGGGAGGGGGCAGGGGAGCAAACCACAUCUUCUGCAAUUCAAAACUGCCAGAGUUCCCGUAUGAGUUUCUUAUAGUAUGCUGGGAUCUUUAGGAACAGGGGAUCUUGUUUCACACACAUCUGUCUUUUUCGAACCCACAUCACCACAACAGCAAACACUUGGUUUUAGUGACCCCCUGUGCCAGUACUUGUGUCUCAUUGGGAAGGGAAAGGAUUUUCCUCACUUGGCAGGUGAACGUCUAGAUCGUGUCUCAUAUUCCAUCUUCUCAGAGCCAAGGCUUGCAGAACAUGCAUUAUGAAGGCAGCAGUCUUACAGCCUCGGGAGAAUGAGCCUAUGUUAUUAAACCUGUGCUUUUUUCUUUUUGCAACAGUGUUUUUCAACCUGUGGUCUCUGUACCUCUGGGAGUCUGUAGAAUACUUCCAAGAGGUCCAUGAAAAACAACUAACAGAAGCAAGCCUAUUGUCAGUUGGUUUAAAUUCUCUAUUCAAAGAUCCAUACUUCUUCUGUAAAAAUUUUAGGGGGCUUGUAAAUUGAAAACUGAUGAAAACUGCAGCUCUAUAAUGUCACGGAGUAAUUUUUCUAAAUGCUCACAUGCAUGAAGGGUCAGAGAGUGAAUUAUUCAGGCUUGGUGGUUAGCACAGUCACUUAGGGAACAGCAGUUGCCCCAGUAAGCAUUUAAUUAUUUUGUAUAAAUGAGAGUCUGAACAAGAUCAACCUCAGAAUAUCAGAUAGUGCAGUAAUUAGGAAAACCUUUAGGAAGGUGAGAGGCUCAAACUGGGCAAGAAAAAACUUGAAGUUCAGCACAUCGUGGGCAAUGUCCCUGUGUUCCCAAUACUGGAUAUAAAAGCAACCCUUUUCCACCCCUCUCUCUAAUUGAUGUUUGGUGCUGCGUGAGAUCUGGUAAACAUAUCUUGUAGUGCACGUGCUCAGUGGUGGAGCAGUUAUAUGCAUUCAUGGCUUUGAGUGUGGUAAUCUGGAUAUACAGGCUCAAGAAGCACUGCAGCCCGUGUGCUGAGGAUCCGUAUCUGCGAGUGAGGUACCACGAGAUGCUCUGUGAUUAAGCCCUUCAUGAUUUGCCCAAGGCCACGCAGGAGGUCUUUGGUAGAGCAAGAAUGUAAGGCUGAGUUUGCCAAACAUGAGGCCAGUAUCUUAAUUAUAGGGCUGUGCGUCUUUAUUUGUAAGACAUACUUUAUUUUUAUUUUAUUUUUUUUUUACAAGAGAGGCAGUGAGCAGAUUAAGGGUAAGCAAGAGAUGUUUUUUUUCCCCACAGACAGUUUUAAAAGGGAACCAGUAACACAGGAGUACUCUCAACAAGCAAGCUGUGCCAAAUGGGAAGAAGGAGAGAAGGACCAAGCUCUGGGUAGGAUGUGCAAAGGACAGAUGGUGCAGAAAGAAGUGCGGGGUUAGGCUUGUAGAUCCGUGGGGGUUUUACAAAGAAAAGGGGUUUUCCUGCUGCCCCAUAUUGUGCUUCCUAUUGGGUUUCCACAUAGAGUUCAUAGCAUCCUAAUGAGAGCCAGACAAUGAUAGGCUCAUGGUUCUAGUAGAGAAAAUAUUUGGUUAAAAAAAUGGGAUCAACUUUGAGGAUGAACAGCUUCUUAUUCCUAGAAAGAGCUGUAAUUGAAAUCAAGACAAUCUACUACUUCCCAAGGGCUUUGUCAUACUGUUCAGACAUCCUGAGGAACCGUAAUUGGAUUUUUACCAUAAACAAGUGUUGAGAAACAUGUUUCUUAUUUAGGUUGCUUCAUGUGUUCAUGUCCUUUUUUGCUUCCUUGUUAGUCAACAGAAUUUCUGUUGACACAAGUGGGAACAGGAAGUAAAUAUUUCAAGUGGGGAAGGGCAAACCUCCGAAAGUUCACAGAGCUCAAAACUAUUAACCUAUUCUGGGGAUUUGAAAAACAAAAUGUUUACCUUCACAAACUUGUUUUGUCUGUAACUUAAAUGUCUUUUCUCUCCCAUGCUGUUUAAGGAGAUUACAUUUCAAAAACAAAGGGAUUUUCUAGGGAGCCAAUUUAUGUAUUAAAGAUGACUGACAAAAGCAAAGCAGCCACAGCUCAGUCCUCUGUAAAGAUCUGUGUAUGUCCUUUCAUCAGAUUUCCCAGCAUUUCCUCUGUUUUAUUUAUUAUGUUUUUUUUUUGUAUUUAUUUUGUAUUUAUUGUUUGUAUUUAUUUGUAUAUUUUUGUUCAUAUGUUUUUGUUUGUAUUUAUUAUAUUUAUUGCAGCCUCUGUUUGUUUCUGUGCCUUUUCAUUUAUUGUGUCUCUGCCAACUUCUCUUGUGUGUGUUUUGCAUUUUCUAGUGGGAGGUUAUAUUCUGUUUAGAAAACAUGAAUCCAAUAAUGUGGGAAGUAACUUUCAAACCGAAUUUAUUGGCAUUGUCAAAGAAUUUGGACAGUUUCAAACUUCAAGGGAAGUACAGCUCAGAAAGAAAAUGUUUAGAUAUGCUAAAGCUUAGAUGAUCACGAGUUAUUCUUCUUCAAAUUUACCUUUCCUGUCAAUGGCAUUUUGACACUUAGACCUGAGUCACUUUUGCAGAGUGGGUGCUGUGCUUGUAAGUGAAUAAAGUUCCUGUUGGUAUUGCAGUAACAGCCAAGUGACUGAUCACAAUAUGGAGAUCUUCUUCUGAGUCAUGAGGUGUUUUAACUGGAAAAUACUGAAUUCUGGAGAGCCACAAGGAACAGACACCGUCAACAGAAUCUGCUGGAGGUAUUUUAGCCACCUAAUUAAUUUUCAAUAAAUGCUUCCAAUAGGUAAUUUGCUUCUGGCCAAAUGUAAAUCAACCGGAGACAAAUAGGGUUAAAAUUAGAAAUGUGUGAUGGGGACAAUGUUUAUGGACAAAAUAACCUGGCACUCCUAGAAAUAACUUGCUGACAGUAAUAGAAAAUUAGACCACACAGAUGUUAACAAAAACUGAGCAUUGCAUGUCACAUGGCCCCAGUAGAGUUCCUCCAGCUGGACACAGAACUGGCUCCUGUGCGUGGGUCUCACCGCACAAGGCCUGCCCAUCCUUAAUUUUCCCUUGGUAUGGAUCGUGUCUCACAUGGCCUCAGUUCUCUAUCUGGCAUGCUCCUACCAUUGCAUGCUGUCACCAUUUGCAAUCUUACUUGAGACCUCCACAGCGCCUCAGAGACACUCCAGCUGGUAUGAAUAUCCUCUGCAGAGCUCCAGGCUUUCACAUUCCCUAGUCUUAGAGGUCAUCUCUUCAAAGGCAUGCGGUAGCUGAAACACAGAUACCUGAUAAGUAAAGUUUUCAAAUUUUAUUAAUUAGAAACAGUGUUGAGCUACUUCAGCUUCUGAAAGACAUACACAAGUUUUGAAGAAAAAAAAUGUGUUGCAUAUUUGCUUUUUAAAGUUUCUUCACCCAUCUCAUGUGCUCUUCGCUCAGAACCUUCUAAUUCUUGGAUAAACCCUCUUGUCUUUUCCUCUAGAAAACAAAGUCUGUGUCUGUCCCUCCCUAAAAGGGGCUGGUAAGAGAUUCUUACAACUUCCAGCCUCCCAUGCUGGGUAGCCCUUGGACAGGUCUGUCAAAUGGCCAGGGUCCCCAUGGAGCAACAUGGCAACUUCUUGCCCUGAAAUUCAAACUAUAAUAAGUUUGACCUGGAUAGUAGUAGACUGUUUACCAAAGGAGACUUUCAUAUGGAAAGAAGAUCAUUGAGGUUUGAUGCCUCUUUAUUACGGGUCUUACAUCACUUGCCUUUGUAAUUUGGGAUAAAUUAGACAACUUGGUUUAGAGAGUAUUACAGGCUUGGUGUUACUUGCUACGGAGAGUGCCUGUGAUCUGCGGGUACUGGAACAGCCUUCAGAUCAGCCUUCACAUAAACAGGGAAAUAUCUCAAAGCUGGCAUUCAUGGGCAAACUAGCAGCAGCACUAAUAAGAUGUGGUGGAUUUGCAUGACAUUUCUGGCCUGAAAAACAGGUCACAGAUAGCUAUGCGGUACUGGACAUGACAAACAUAGGCAGCUAAUAAAUAAACAUAUGGACAAGUCACCUUCAGAGGCAUUUACCUGUCUAGAAGGAAGCUUGCUUGAAUAUUUAGGAUUAUCUGAAAGCAAAAGUCAACUGACACAGGCUUGCAAUUUGUAUAAUCUUCUCUAAACAUAAAGGUGACAAAGCGAACUAUCACAAUUCUCCAGGCAUGUUCCUAGCCUCUGUUACUGGAAAGAUCCUCCCAUAGUCUUCCUGAAUGCUCUCAAUAUUUUCCUGAGUUUCGGUGGAUUUAGGUCUGGCCACGCUCUAUUGAUGGGAUCUCUGUCAACUUCAGGAAAAGGGCUUGGGAGCAGAUUUGCUGGUUGGUCUAGCAGGAGCUUUUAACAGCAUAAAAUCAUGAGGGGGUCUGGAAAAUUUUGUUCAUCUUUCUGAAGUCUCUGAAGUUUAUUUCUGUCACUUUAUUUUUCCGUGAUGGCCAGUGUAUGGAAAAUGGCAACAUAUCAGACUCCAUUCCUGUCUCAAGCAGCCCCAAACAAGGUUGUGUGCUGGCUCCCACGCUGUUUUCCUUCUUUUUCUUGGCUGUGCUGGCGGAGGCAUUUUGCUGACAUUGAGAGAGGAGUAUUUAUUUAGUUCUAUACCAAUGGAAAGUUUCUCCAUCUGCAGUGCUGCUCAUCAGAGAUCUUCUUUUUUUCAAAUGACUUUAUGCUGGUAACCUCUUCAGCUGAAGACAUUUGUUUAAUCAAUGACCAUUUUGCUGAGCAGUCAGUCAAGCUGGUUUCAUGACUGGACAACAGAAUGCCCAUUUCUGCUUCUCUCCUGUCCAGGAGAGCUGCAUAAGGUUGCUGCCACAGAAGGCCCUACAUGCUGACAAGACGAGCCAUUGCACAGCUUCGCAUUUUGGCUGUGGUUGCACCUCUGUAGAACAUCCAGGUUGUGAAACUAAGUAGUAAUAACAAUGUCUGUCAAAACGUCCAGCUCAUAAUAAUCCUUUCUGGUUGUGAGACAUGGGUUGCUCCCUCGGAAUACCGAAGCUACAUAGCCUAUGUGCUUUGGUUUGUCCUAUUUGUGAGAUUAAAUGCUGAGGGGAAAUACCUAGUACUCAAAUCCAUGUAUAUUGACAAGUUUUUUCCUAGCUGAGAGCUGAAAAUGCCUGGACACCUUACAAUACGGCUUGAAAAUUCUUAAGGAAAUAUUUUAUGCUCAAAGCCACCAAAGCAGCUGUUCCCAUUUUGCUGGGAUAAUGCAAAGCCAUCUGGAAAUUUUGCUGGAUUGACCCCCACUGAGGAGGCAGCAGCCCACAACUGAGCAAGGUGGUGGCAGUGGUUCUGUAAACGUCUUUGGAACAAGUUGUGAGUCGUACAAAGAAAGAACACCAUGCCUUGAUAUCCUGGAUAAUUCCGCUUGUUCCACGUCCAGCUAUUCUUAUGACUUUUGCAUAGGUCUGGUUUCCAGCAUACCUGUCCAAGUUGCCUGUUUUCUGGAUUCACUUAUGCUGAAAUCAGCAUGAGACUUCAUCGUUUUGAUGAGAUAACAAGGAAUGCAGCAAUGGCUUCUACUCUUGGCCAAAGAGUCUUUAACCUUGUUGCCUGUGGAGGAAAAUGGACAGAAAAGCUGCAUUUUAGCUCUGAUGGUUGAAGAUAAGAAACAUACUCUGGGCUGCUAGCAGCUAUUUCUUUCUUUGGAACAAGGUCACAAGCAUGAUAAGUGAAACACCAAGAAAUGGAUAUUCAAAGUUGCAUAUAUUUUCCCUUGAUGUAUUUGAUGUAUUCUAACCUGGGAAAACACCAUGCUGUCUGACUGACCCAGCAUCAUCCACCUUCUAUAUUCCACCUUCACUGAUAUCUAAAGAGUGGUGAGCAGGAAAGGACCUGUUUGCUGAUGAAAUGAAUGAGAAAAAAAAAAAAAAAAAAAGUGGGAGAAAAACUUUUCCUGUGGUUUCUAGAUCUAGCUGAAACUGAGCUGCGGGGGACCUGGCAUUCAGAAGAGCUGUACAUCCAUGUUUGUAACGGAGCUGGAAGAAACAAAACACAGUGAACCAGGACAUGCUGUGCACAUACAGCAAUUGGGAUAGCGUGAGCCAAGGAGGUGACUCUGGGUCAUUUCCAGCUCUGGUUGCACGUGAGGCUCUAACAGUUACGUUUCAGGAGCUACAUCUCAGAAUUCCUCAGUACCAUUUGUGAGACAACUGUGCUUGAACCUGCAGCGGUGUUUGUUGUCUGAGCCUAUACUCUGAUUCGAAAGGGGAAGAGUAUCACUGUGGUACCCACCAUGAAGUGGGGAUGGGGACCUGCAGGAUCUCUUCCUCUGCUGACACCCAGAUCCUUGGAGAAAGAAAAACGAUCCAGUGGAAGCAAAUGGAAGGAAUAACGUGCUUCGUGAAAUGCCCAGUAACUGGUUUGAAAGACCCAUUCUUGCAAGGGGAGCUGGAUGCAGAUGGACGUGAAACAGGAGAGGGAGCCGUUGCAUGCUACCGGCCGUUCUGCUGCUCAGGAACAGCACCAGGAGAUCCGUGCCCUCUUCGCAGUCCAUUUCUUGAACAACUGUGUGUCAUCGGCCGACUGCUCAGGAAACCAUGCAGCUGGGCAGGAAGCACCAGGAAGAGCUCAGCCUCCCUGAACUCUUUGAGGGCACAAAAUGAAUCAACUUGCCCGUGUCUGGAGCCAGUUCUCCGAGCUCCUGCUGUGGAGGAGAAGAGAAGCCGUGCUCCUGGAGACACCCCAGCUCCUGCCAGGCACCGAGAGCUGUGCAAGGAGGUUCAAUGCAGCAGCCAUCACCAGAUGGUGCUGCUGCAUGCAGCCUCGCAAGGUCACCCUGUGAAGGGAUGUUUUGUUUCUUGGAAGAAAACACUGAACUGGGGAUGUUUCUCCACUGCUUGGGUGUCUGGAGAGUAGGCAGGGUAUGUUCUGACGUUAUGUCACUAGCCGGGUCUCUUUGAGAAUGGGUCAUUUGGGUUUUGGCUGGGAAUUCAGAAUAGGGGUGGGUUCAGAUGCUGUUCGAGAUGAUCUGUUCCAGACUGGCUCAAGUGGAUAAACAAAAUUAAUUAUGUUCACAUCAGAUGAGUGCACAGGAUCAAUUUUUUCCUCCAAUGGAAAACUGGCUGGCAAUGUGUACUGCUGCUAAUCAUAAACAUAUCACUAUAGUUCACCUGCAUUUUCUGUAAGCUUUACAAUACUGUUGCUGUUUUUUUUAAUGCCCAGGUUCAGGAAUCGUUAUCACAUGAGAAUCCAGUAUGCCACUGUGUAGAAAAAGGAAUGUCCCCUUUCCUACUUCUUUUGUAUGUAAAAAUCCAGCGCAGCAAAGAACUUCAGCUUCUGUGAUUAAGCAGAGGAAACAGCAUCGCCUGAACCUUUAACUACCAGAUUUUGUUUUCUCCCUGUUUGUGUCAGUAAAUACGUGAUUACUUCUAACAAGUUGCUUGGGAAGGCUUUCAUCUCUGCUUCCUCAGAAAAAGGUCAAGGGAAAUGGCUAAGCCAAAAAUUGUUCUUCUUAAAUCAGCAUUCUUGAUUGCUAUUGCACUGAGCUCUCUGAAGGCCUCUGGGCAGAGUAAAAUCUAUGUUUGAUGAUUUGAAGUUUACAGAGUAGGCGCUCCAGACUUUAUAAGGCCUUCAGCCUCGUCCCGUGGACAUUCAUGGUUGGUGCUUCAAAGUUCACUGUCUUCAGGUCUCAUCUGCAGUCAUCACAGAGUCAUGAUGAAGUACUGUAAGAACACUUACAACACUUUGACCAUCCUGGUCAGUACAGGAUCUGCCCAGACUCCAAGGGACAGCUCACGGCUAGGAAGGACAGAGAUGAUGAAAGUGCGAAAUGACAAAUGAUGAUGC